rnacentral:rRNA from 1 species
GUAGGUGGCAAGCGUUGUCCGGAAUUAUUGGGCGUAAAGCGCGCGCAGGCGGUUUUUUAAGUCUGAUGUGAAAGCCCACGGCUCAACCGUGGAGGGUCAUUGGAAACUGGUGAACUUGAGUACAGAAGAGGAAAGCGGAAUACCACGUGUAGCGGUGAAAUGCGUAGAGAUGUGGAGGAACACCAGUGGCGAAGGCGGCUUUCUGGUCUGUAACUGACGCUGAGGCGCGAAAGCGUGGGGAGCAAACAGGGAUUAGAUACCCUGGUAGUCCACGCCGUAAACGAUGAGUGCUAAGUGUUAGGGGGUUUCCCGCCCCUUAGUGCUGCAGCUAACGCAUUAAGCACUCCGCCUGGGGAGUACGGCCGCAAGGCUG